rnacentral:lncRNA from 1 species
AUAAUAAAAAAAAAAUUACCAAAAUUUUGACUAUUAUAAACAAAAUUAUAAACUAGUCUCCAAUAAAUAUUGCAAUUUGCAUUUUAAAAUGUUUUCAGCUUAAAUAGUUUAUUAAAUUAGUCGUGUCUCCAAUAAUUAAAUAUUGCUAUACUUUAUCCUAUGACUUUUAUGUCACAGUAAAUAAAUUAGUGUUCGAAACCUCGCAUCCAAAAAAAUAUGCCUCGUGUGUAUGUUUCAAAAGCUCAAGGCCCUAUAAGAGGUAUAAUCCCACAACACUAAAAACUGCUAUAGAAGCCUAUGAAAAGGAAAAUAAAUCUCUCUCGGAAAUAUCUAAAGAGUAUAAUAUAAGUAAGUCUGUUUUGCAUAGACAUGCAACACGAAACAUGAAAAGUCAUGGUGGUCAACAAUCCAUAAGCGAAGAAGUGGAAAAAUCUAUAGUUGAAUAUAUAAACAUUUGUUCUACAUUGGGAUAUCCACUUAAUACACUUGAUUUACGAUGUUUAAUAAAGGGAUACCUAGAUAGAGCCGGAAUAGAAAUUAAAAAAUUUAGAGAUAACCUACCUGGCAUAGAUUAUAUCAAAGGUUUCUUAAGACGUCACAGUAAUGAAAUUUCAGAUCAAAUAAGUAUGAAAAAAAGAAGAUCUAAAGGGCAGUAUCAGCACAAAUAAUAGAAGAUUAUUUUUCAGCACUGAAUAAUUCUUUAGUGGUUGUAGUUUUAUCUGACACAGAAGAUUCUAAUGAAUCAAAGUCAUCUGAUGAUUCAGAAAAAGAAAAAGGAUUUGAUUAAAAUACUUGACAUUUGGGUAUUUUGCCCUGAGAGGAUUAUGAAUUAUACUUAGUUGUCAAUGUUGCUAUUGAUGGCUGUGUCUAUUGAUGAUGCAUUGGUGCCAUUCUUCAUGGUGUAGUAACCAACUCAAGAGUACAAUGCCUGGACACAAUUGGCCCUGUUAACUGUAAAGCUCAAGAUAAUUUGAUAUUAUGUACAAUAUGUUUGAUGAUGUUUGGGCAAAAUCUAAAGCAUUUUUGUACUAUACCAAUAAUUUCUUCAUAUUUCUUCCACUAAACUCAACCCACCAGCCACAGAUUUGAGAUGUAUUUUUUGAAAAUAAUGAUCGGUGACAUGUUAUUCUUAUGGGAAAAAACAAGGCUGGGUAUGAUUUCUUUUUUCAUAGCAGAUGUCUUUCAUAAUUUUUUAAGUCACUAUGAUUGCCAAAAAGCAACAUGUAUUCAUGAAGUGAUGAUAAGUUAAAAAUGCCAGUAAAACAGAUGACUGAAGGAGAAGGGAUAUAUUUUUUCAGAUAUACUAAUACAUAAUACAUUUAUUCUGUAAUAUUUGUUUUAUUUUGAGUUGUUCAACAUUCCAAAGCAUGUGAUCUGGCAUUAUUAAUAUAAAUGUGUAAUGUUAGGUCCUGUUAGGUAUGCUUUGUUGUACUAUGUAUAAUAUACCUACUGGUUCAAAUAUCAACAUUAUAAUGUGAAGAUACCUUAACCACUACAGUAUUUAUUAGGAACUGCUUAUUUAUUUUAAAUAUUAUAUUUUCACAUUAUUGUAUUCACAGAUUUUGCAAAAAAAAAAAUAGCAGGAAGUUAAUAGGUCUAUAUAAUAUUAUCCUUAAUAGGGCACCAGGUUUUGUCAUUUUUUUUUCAGCUGAUUGGUAUGUGAUGCAGUAUGAAUGAUUGCAUUAUUAUGAAAUGAACUCAUGAUACUGCAUAUUUCAUGUAGUCAUCAAGUACAUUAUUGAUCUGUUUAAUAUUUUACUAGUUCUAUGCUGUUAUUAAUAACUUAAUUAGUAUAAUUGGUUUAUCCAUUCUAAUUGAAAUAAAUAAAUAAAAUAUUUAGUACAUCAGAAAUGCUGAAGAAUUUCCUACGAAAGUUUUAUGUACCUACUUCUACAUGUUCAUAUAAAUUUUUCUAUUUUGCAAUUUAAAUAAAUUAUUGCAGAUAAUA